ACACACACACACACACACACACACACACUCACACACACACGUGUAAUAAGAUCUCCUUAAGCUUCAUAUUUUAUUCGUGUGGAAUUUAGAAUCGACCAAUGACAGCGGCGAUGGCUUUUGACGUCACUUCAUCAGGAAGUAAACAACAAUGGCUGUACGUUGUACUAAUAAGUUGCACUACUCGUUUUUAUUCGUAUUUGUAUUGGUGUGUGUUUUGUUUGGAAAGUCGGCCAGCUCUUUGACUUCAGAUAAACCUGGACAUGGUGAAUUCAAACAUUUCCGAAGUUUUCGAAGUGUUUCAGAGCCUACAGCUCCACCACCAGGGUGAUGCCACAUACAGAUACUCUGUGCUGAGGCGGAUGGAGGAGCAGAGAGAGGAAGAAUCUGAUGAGGAUCUUUUGGAAUGAAACCAGGCGUGAUGUGGAAUUAUUAUUAGUAUAAAAAAAACAAUAAUAAUUCUCAGGAUUUUCUUCAGAAACAGUUUGUCCUUUUCAGCCCCAUCUUCCUUCUGUCCUUAGUUUUAAUGCCAAAACUAUUAUGGGUUUUUAAAGGUCACAUGGUGCUGGUUAAUGUUGUAAAUGUGAAUGGCAAGAUUAUUUAUUAAGAACUGCCUUCAGGAUCCAGAGUGAAGCGAUCAAAAAGUUUGGAACUGUGAAACACAGCCAAUGAGUCUGAGAUUUUAUUUAUUUUGUUGUUGUUAUUGUUUGUUACAGGAAAAUACAACCCACUAUUUUCAAUGUUACUCUAAUUUUUGAGUUUUAAUGGGUUGAGAAUAUGUUUGAUCUAAACCUUAACAACUCAAAAGCAACCGAACAUAACCUAACUUGAACCUAAUGUGUCCUGUUGGUGGAAAUUUCAGGAAUUAAAAGCUACAUGGCUCUGAUAAAUGGUCCAAAUAAGAUUGUACAUGUUUAAAUAAUAAGUCUAAUAUUUGACUAGUUGGAUCUUGUUUAAAUAAAUCUGAACUAAGGGGGUCCAUGGAAUUUAUUAAAGUUAAAGGGGUUCUUGGCUGCAAAAAGUUUGAGAACCUCAGCACUACAGUAUAACACAAUAAUUAAAUGGGCUUUGUCACUAUCCUUAAUCUGUAUUCCCACUAAUUAUAAGGAAUUUUAUGCUGAAAGUUUUUCCUCAUUGCUUAUUGUGUGUAGUGUAGGUAAAACAUUGCAUUUUUUUCACAUUAAGAUUUAUGGGCAAUUGUCUAAUCAGGUGACUCCCCUUGGGCUUUUGCGCAUAUUUGCUUUAGUUAAGGAUUUUGUAUUUCUUUCAGUUUUUCUAAAUGUGAGUAGGGGUUACAUAUGUGUUUGGUCUACCAGUAUGGUUAGCACAUUUUCCUCGCACCUUUGGGGUGCCAGGAAAUCCCCGCCUCUGCCCUGUGCAUGCAGAGCUGGCAUGUUCUCCCCAUGCUUCAGGGGUUUCCUCUGGGUACUCUGGUUUCUUCCCCCAGUCCAAAGACAUGCACUAUAUGUUGAUUGGCAUUUCCAAAUUGUCCUUAGUGUGUGAAUGGGUGUGUGCGAUUGUGCCCUGUGAUGAGUUGGCACCCUGUCCAGGGUGUCCCCCUGCCUUGUGCCCCGAGUUCCCUGGGAUAGACUCCAGGAUCAGCCUUGUGUAGCAUAAGUGGUACAGAAAUUGGAUGGAUGUUAAAUCAGUCUUGGGUUAACGUAUAUUGUUAGAUAAGUUAAACAAGGUUCUUUCUGUGUCAUUUUGUGUUGUAAUUGUUUUGUUUUGCUGCCUGAGAAUGUGAGUAGAUUUCCUUGUUAGAUUUUGUUGACUGUGUGAUUUAUGUAGUGCUUCAUUGUAUGAAUUGAUAUGUACCUCUGAAACACCUGAGAGAAAUUUUAUGACCUGAAAUUGUUUGAGUAAUUGCUGAAAAUUCACCACUCAGGAUUAAAGUUAUUUCAAACCCCAUUGUUUAUUUGACUCACAUUUAGUCAUGUCUGUCUGUCUGUCUGUCUGUCUGUGUCUGUGUGUGUGUCUCUCUCUCUCUCUCUGCGUGCAUGUGCAGUGCAGUGGAAGAGCAAGCGUGACGUGUAGAGCGCGUGAGAGCAGUUUGGCGUCUUCUCAAAGUUUUCUGCGAC
ensembl:lncRNA